AACGAACGCUGGCGGUAUGCUUAACACAUGCAAGUCGAACGAGUACGACCUAGCUUGCUAGGUACGGCUAGUGGCAAACGGGUGAGUAACGCGUGGGAAUCUGCCUCUAAGUCAGGGAUAGCCGUUGGAAACGACGAUUAAUACCUGAUACUCCCUUCGGGGGAAAGAUUUAUUGCUUAGAGAUGAGCCCGCGUUAGAUUAGCUUGUUGGUGAGGUAAAGGCUCACCAAGGCGACGAUCUGUAGCGGGUCUGAGAGGAUGAUCCGCCACACUGGAACUGAGACACGGUCCAGACUCCUACGGGAGGCAGCAGUGGGGAAUUUUGGACAAUGGGCGCAAGCCUGAUCCAGCCAUGCCGCGUGAGUGAAGAAGGCCUCGGUUGUAAGUACGUCUUUCGGUCCGGGUACGGAAAGUACG
rnacentral:rRNA from 1 species